GGGAGACCCUGAGAAGCUAGGGGGGAUUGCAAGGGGUGCAGACUGAAGAAAAGGGAAGGAGGGAGGACAGCACCCCUUUUCCUCUCACAGAUUGUUACCUCCUGUGACCCCCACAACCUACUCUCAAGUGGGUAUAGGGAACCCUGUGGAGAGACCCAAAGACCAAGUAAGCAGAGUGGCUAAAAGAAUAGUCAAACCCAGCUCCUAAGGGCUUCCCAGUUGCCAGGGAGAAAAGACUACCCUCAUCCCUUAAUGGACUCUCACCAAGUAAUCCUGAUCAUCGAUGCCAAAUCGAUCACGGAGGUUCCUGAAGACUUGAGGACAAUACUCUUUGAACUUGAAAUGACUGGGCAGAUUUUCCCUGAAAUUCGAGUUUUUAAGGAAGGUUAACAUAAGAAGGGCAAGGAUCCCCACUUACCUGUGGAAAAGGUGAUUGUUGACCUUGAUCUUGGAGCUGGCCUUAAAGUCAUCUGGCAGCAGCAUCACUGGGGGAGGUACCUGGCUGAGCUCAUUGAUCUGAUAAGCCAAAACAUGAAUAGGGAAGCAGUGAGUAAGGGUGUGGAGAGCUACUCAUGCACUGUGUCUAGCCAGGAAUCGGGAAAGGGCAACUGCAACUUCAUUCCUUGAAAAACACUGGCUAUACAUAUGCUUGACAGAAGUGAGAGAAUGUGUCUAACCCCUUCUGCUGCCCAAGAAGGACUGCAGUCAGCAACACUCACACACAGCCCCUCACACUCCCACCCCCGUGGAACUUCAUGCUCACAACAGUCAUUUUAUAUUAGGCAAACCCUGUAAGCAACUCAGGACUAUUUUUAAAGCUGUGAGAAAUUCUAGAAAAGAAAAAUACCCUCUGCAAAUUCAAGACAGUUACACGCUUUUUUUUUUUUUUAAGCAUUUUUAAAGUGCACCAAAGAAUUAAUGGGAUUCUGUGGGGUCAACAGCAGCAAGAAGAAUGAAAUGUCUAUAUCCUAUAAAAGGCAUCUCUUUACAAACAGGACCAGUCCCUUCCAGGCCACUCUUACCCACUUCUUUGCAGUAGGUCCCCACCUGUCUAGGUGUAAGGUAAAGGAAGAACAGCUGAUUUCAGGAGAAAUGCAGACAGAGAAUAUGAGCUUGUUAGUCUGUUCCCUAAGUAAAACCAAUCCACAGCCUGAAGGACACAAGCAUCACAUGUUCUUCUCAGGCCCCAGAUCUGCACUCUGCUAAUUCAGGGGAGAAAAGGAGCUCUGGUACUUAGAAAUCAUGAGAUGUACUUUCUUCUUUGUGUUGCUACAAUACCUGUCACCUGUUUUUGUUAGUACAUGUAUCACAUGACUUUAAUCACUAGUUAAUGUAGUAAGUCCCCCCAACUAGAUUGUGAACUCUUCAAGAGUAAGGGCCCGUUCUAGUUGUCUGCAUCUCUCAGGUGCCCAGCUAGCAUGAUGUAUGGCACACAGUGAUCCUGAAGUGUUUAUUAACUGAAUAAAUGAAUGCCAACUUGAUCAUUCGA